rnacentral:rRNA from 1 species
GACGAACGCUGGCGGCGUGCUUAACACAUGCAAGUCGAACGGAAAGGCCCUGCUUUUGUUGGUUUCUCGAGUGGCGAACGGGUGAGUAACACGUGAGUAACCUGCCCUUGACUUUGGGAUAACUUCAGGAAACUGGGGCUAAUACCGGAUAGGAGCUCCUGCUGCAUGUUGGGGGUUGGAAAGUUUCGGCGGUUGGGGAUGGUCUCGCUGCUUAUCAGCUUGUUUGUGGGGUAGUGGCUUACCAAGGCUUUGACGGGUAGCCGGCCUGAGAGGGUGACCGGCGACAUGGGGACUGAGAGACGGCCCAGAAGCCUACGGGAGGCAGCAGUGGGGAAUAUGGCACAAUGGGGGGAAGUGUGAUGUAGAAACGCCGCGUGCGGGAUGACGGCCUUCGGGGGGUAAACCGAUUUGGAAGGAGACGAAGAGGGAGUGACGGUAAUGGGUAAAGAAGCACCGGCUAACUACGUG